GGGAGCGAAAUAGUUUCGAUGUGAGAGGCUAGUUCUCGUGUUGCAAGUCGCGGAGCCUAGUGCCGCGUUAACAAUGGGCAAAAAAUUAGGUGCCAAUAACACCAACACUGCUUACGCUCUCGCCGCUUAAUCCGGCUUGACCUAAGCAGCUAACCCAUAGAAGGUUAGCCGUCUGCCCCAUCCGUCUGCGUCCGAGUGGAUUGGCGGGCGUCACCAAAGACGUUAGUGCUGUGACUCGACACCGAUAAGGGUCACAAAAGAGACAUCGGUUAGUUGUCAGCAUACCGCGUUGGCCCGGGCUACUGACAGCGAAUGCAAUAGGUCAACUAAACUUGUAGACAUGCGGGGGCGGUCCUUGCAGACUCGGCUUGCAACAGCCGACGCUUCCACUA
rnacentral:tmRNA from 1 species